rnacentral:rRNA from 1 species
UGGGGAAUCUUGGACAAUGGGCGCAAGCCUGAUCCAGCAAUGCCGCGUGGGUGAAGAAGGCCUUCGGGUUGUAAAGCCCUUUCGGCAGGGAAGAAAUCGGCGGGGCGAAUAACCCUGCUGGAUGACGGUACCUGCAGAAGAAGCACCGGCUAACUACGUGCCAGCAGCCGCGGUAAUACGUAGGGUGCGAGCGUUAAUCGGAAUUACUGGGCGUAAAGGGUGCGCAGGCGGCCCUGUAAGACCGGUGUGAAAUCCCCGGGCUCAACCUGGGAAUUGCGCUGGUGACUGCAGGGCUAGAGUACGGUAGAGGGGGGUGGAAUUCCUGGUGUAGCAGUGAAAUGCGUAGAGAUCAGGAGGAACACCGAUGGCGAAGGCAGCCCCCUGGGCCUGUACUGACGCUCAUGCACGAAAGCGUGGGGAGCAAACA